rnacentral:rRNA from 1 species
UACGUAGGGUGCGAGCGUUAAUCGGAAUUACUGGGCGUAAAGCGUGCGCAGGCGGUUUUGUAAGCCAGAUGUGAAAUCCCCGGGCUUAACCUGGGAAUGGCAUUUGGGACUGCAAGGCUUGAGUGCGGCAGAGGAGACUGGAAUUCCUGGUGUAGCAGCGAAAUGCGUAGAUAUCAGGAGGAACACCGAUGGCGAAGGCAGGUCUCUGGGCUGACACUGACGCUCAUGCACGAAAGCGUGGGGAGCAAACAGG